rnacentral:rRNA from 1 species
AUUGAACGCUGGCGGCAGGCCUAACACAUGCAAGUCGAGCGGAUGAAGGAAGCUUGCGCCUGGAUGCAGCGGCGGACGGGAGAGUAAUGCACAGGUGUCUGCCUGAUAGAGGGGGAUAACGUCCGGAAACGGGCGCGAAUACCGCAUCCGUCAUUAGGGAGAACGUGGGGGAUCUUCGGACAUAACCGUCUCAGCUGUGCCUACGUCGGAUUAGCUAGUUGGUGUGGUAAAGGCGUACCAAGGCGACGAUCCUUAACCGGCCUGAGAGGAUGAUCAGUCACACUGGAACUGAGACACGGUCCAGACUCCUACGGGAGGCAGCAGUAGGGAAUAUUGGACAAUGGGCGAAAGCCUGAUCCAGCCACGCCGCGUGUGUGAAGAAGGUCUUCGGAUCGUAAAGCACUUUUAGUAGGGAGGAAGAGCAGUAUAUUAAUCCCUGGCUGUUUUGACGUUACCAACAGAAUAAGCACCGGCUAACUACGUG